rnacentral:rRNA from 1 species
GACACGUGAAAUCCUGUCUGAACAUGGGGGGACCAUCCUCCAAGCCUAAGUACUCCUUAUCGACCGAUAGUGAACAAGUACCGUGAGGGAAAGGUGAAAAGCACCCCGACGAGGGGAGUGAAACAGUUCCUGAAACUGGAUGCCUACAAACAGUUGGAGCCCAAGGUUCGUCCUGGGUGACAGCGUACCUUUUGUAUAAUGGGUCAGCGACUUAUGUUCAGUGGCGAGGUUAACCGUUUAGGGGAGCCGUAGGGAAACCGAGUCUGAAUAGGGCGAUUUAGUCGCUGGGCAUAGACCCGAAACCGGGCGAUCUAUCCAUGAGCAGGUUGAAGGUUGAGUAACAUCAACUGGAGGACCGAACCCACUGUCUUUGAAAAGCCAGGGGAUGACUUGUGGAUCGGAGUGAAAGGCUAAUCAAGCCCGGAGAUAGCUGGUUCUCCCCGAAAGCUAUUUAGGUAGCGCCUCGGACGAAUACCACAGGGGGUAGAGCACUGUUUCGGCUAGGGGGUCAUCCCGACUUACCAACCCGAUGCAAACUCCGAAUACCUGUGAGUACUAUCCGGGAGACACACGGUGGGUGCUAACGUCCAUCGUGAAGAGGGAAACAACCCAGACCGCCAGCUAAGGUCCCCAAGUACCAGUUAAGUGGGAAACGAUGUGGGAAGGCUCAGACAGCUAGGAGGUUGGCUUAGAAGCAGCCAUCCUUUAAAGAAAGCGUAAUAGCUCACUAGUCGAGUCGGCCUGCGCGGAAGAUGUAACGGGGCUCAAACUGGUCACCGAAGCUGCGGCUGCAUACUUUGUAUGCGGGGUAGGGGAGCGUUCUGUAAGCCUGCGAAGGUGAGUUGAGAAGCUUGCUGGAGGUAUCAGAAGUGCGAAUGCUGACAUGAGUAACGACAAUGCGGGUGAAAAACCCGCACGCCGGAAGACCAAGGGUUCCUGCGCAACGCUAAUCGGCGCAGGGUGAGUCGGCCCCUAAGGCGAGACCGAAAGGUGUAGUCGAUGGGAAACGGAUUAAUAUUUCCGUACCUUGGAUAGCUGCGAUGGAGAGACGGAGAAGGCUAGGUGAGCCGGGCGACGGUUGUCCCGGUUUAAGCGUGUAGGGAGUGGACUUAGGCAAAUCCGGGUCCACAAUUCUGAGACGCGACGACGACUGCUCUUUGAGAGCGGGAAGUCAUUGAUGCCCUGCUUCCAGGAAAAUCUUCUAAGCUUCAGGCUAUUCGAGACCGUACCCCAAACCGACACAGGUGGUCAGGUAGAGAAUACCAAGGCGCUUGAGAGAACUCGGGUAAAGGAACUAGGCAAAAUGGUGCCGUAACUUCGGGAGAAGGCACGCUGGUGGUAGGUGAGACCCCUUGCGGGUGGAGCUGACGCCAGUCGAAGAUACCAGGCCCCUGCGACUGUUUAUUAAAAACACAGCACUGUGCAAACACGAAAGUGGACGUAUACGGUGUGACGCCUGCCCGGUGCCGGAAGGUUAAAAGGAGAUGUGAGAGCGUCGAAUUGAAGCCCCGGUGAACGGCGGCCGUAACAAUAACGGUCCUAAGGUAGCGAAAUUCCUUGUCGGGUAAGUUCCGACCUGCACGAAUGGCGUAACGACUUCCCCACUGUCUCCAGCAUCGACUCAGCGAAAUUGAAGUCCCCGUGAAGAUGCGGGGUACCCGCGGUCAGACGGAAAGACCCCGUGAACCUUUACUGCAGCUUGGCUGUGGCACCGGAAAUAAUAUGUGUAGGAUAGGUGGGAGGCUUUGAAGCAGCGGCGCCAGUCGUUGUGGAGCCAUCCUUGAAAUACCACCCUUAUUCUUUUCGUUGUCUAACCGCGUCCCUGGAUGGGACCGGGACCCAGCCUGGCGGGCAGUUUGACUGGGGCGGUCGCCUCCUAAAGAGUAACGGAGGCGCGCGAUGGUAGGCUCAAGCUGGUCGGAAAUCAGCUGUUGAGUGCAAUGGCAUAAGCCUGCCUGACUGCGAGACUGACAAGUCGAGCAGAGACGAAAGUCGGUCAUAGUGAUCCGGUGGUCCCGCAUGGAAGGGCCAUCGCUCAACGGAUAAAAGGUACGCCGGGGAUAACAGG